CAGUUCGUGUGUUUUUAAUGAGGAGAGUUAGGGACUGUGGUUUACUCAGUCAGAGAUCUUCUUAUUCAGAACAAAACGUGAACAGGGACCAGCAGGAUUCACUCACACAUGUCAUGUUUACACUCAGUAACAGCUGAUGGUAACAGUCUCAGUAACUCUAUUCAUGAUGUUAUCAUAAAGUUUAACCUUUGUCACGUUUGCAUCAUCAUCUUCAAAUGUGAAGCUGAUCAUUUAUGCAGUUUGAAAUCCUAAUUGUUCGUAGAAAUGGAGGAAAGCUCCUCAGAGUGCUGAAGCCUCGCAGACAUGUUUGUGUGAGUCCUGCUUCAUGUGGGGGUCAGCUGGUCUUCAGGUUUUCCACAUGUGAGCUCCUGACCUGAUGGACAGCUCUGAGUGAAGGCAUUCGUCCAUCACAGUUUCUACCUGCAGACUGUAAAUGUAGCUGAAGAUUCAGGAUGAAGCUGAGCUGAACAUCCUGACAUGUGGAUGAAUCUGUAGUCACAGCCUGACUGUUAGUCGGUCUGAGGUGGUAAAUCUGCACAGAGAGCUCCAGGAGCUUCAUGUGAGAAGCCUGAACUUUAACAGAGCUCAAUAGGAAUCUAUAGAGCUGCAUCAACCUGAAUGUUAGUUCAGGAUUUCCAGAGUUUGACGUUCAUAUUGUUGAGGUAACCACAGAGACUGAAGGACGUGAUCACAGAACGAGGAGUUUGGUGUUCUGGUCUGUUCCACUUCAGAUCCAGUCAUCCUUUAGUUCUGUUUAUGGUGUUAUUUAUCUUAAAAAAAAUGUCAUAUUUGAUAAAACUAAAAUUUAAGGGACGAUGGACUGAGAAACUAUAUAAGUCCUAUAGAAAGUUUUUAAAUCAGAACAGCAAACUCCUUGUUUAUAAUUCGUCUACAGUCAUUAUAAUAGAAAAAAAACGUCAAUAUUUUUUUCAUUUCAAAAAUAACACUUUAAAGACUGUGUAGAAAACAAUUUACAGAUUUAAAUCCUUAACAUCAAGCUCUAUUGUCUGUGGUUAUCUGAGUAUAAACAUAUUUUCUGUUAUUUUUCUCAUAAGGUCUCAGCUUUUGUAGUCAUAGUAAGGGUUAAAGUUCAAACAUCUUAUGGAGCUGUAAUUGUUUAAAGAUCUGCUCAUGGUUCACACAACUGACAUGAUGACUGUUAAUUGACAUUUUUUAAUUGUUUUAAAAAAAAAAUAUGUUGAAAUUUGUGUGGGUGAGCUACUUUUUGAAUGCUGUUCAAAAGAAGGUUUCUUGCCAUUGUGUAAAACAGCCUCCAGAUUCUUCAUCUUCAUCAACAACUUUGUCAAAGUGGUUUUGAUUUACUUUGUUAGAGAUUAAGAUGAAUCGUCAAAGCAAAGUUUUCAUUUUUUUUAUUCUUUUUUUCUACAUCAACUCAACUCUUUCAUCAACCAAGAAGACAUGUGAGAUUUUUCUUUUAUUUUUAUUGGGACUUUCAUCAGUGCUGCCAUGUUUGGUUCCGGCCUGCAGCACAUGUUUCUGUUGUGUUCUCUGGGACUUCCUCCUCCACUUUCAUGAACUGUUCCUCAGCUGAGCUCACUUGAACAGUGAUCCUGAACCUUCUGUCCAUCUUUGCUGGAGCACGCUCAGAAAAGCCCUCCGUCCUGCAUCCUUGCUCUGGUUCAGAGCAGCCAUCAGCCUUCCUCUGACCUCCACAAAGACUCUGUCAGCAAAGAUCCAGCAUGAAGAAUCCACAGCAACAUCAGAGCUCCACACUGCUGCAUCUCAGAGACUGUCUUCCUCCUGCAGAGCUCAGCUCUCCUCUCCAACUCCAGGUCUUCCUCACAGCUGAGAACUCUCUUCAUCACAGAACUGUCAUCAACACUCACAGAACCUCUCGGCAUCAAACUGCUGAGGACCGGAGGAUAGGAUGAACGCUGCAGCACAGUUUAAGCUCCAUCUCAGCUUUGGAUCAAGGUCAUGAACUCUUCUAUAACUCUGUAGUAACCUGUGGCAGCCUCUACAACCCGCUAUGAUCUGCUGGAGAGGGAGCAGUCCAGCCAGUACAGGAAGAAACUGAACAAACUGUUAGGGACAGUUCAGUCAUGCACUCCCUAUUGGACUCUGUUGUGGAGGUGAGUGAGAGGAGGAUUGGAAACUCCUCAUGGACCACACCUCUCACUCACUACAUCAGACAGUGUACAUGCUGAGCAGCUCCUUCUGCAGCAGACGGAUCCACCAGCAGAGUAAGAGGAGCGCUGCAGCUGGUUCUUCAUUCCAACUGCUGUUAGGCUGUACCACUUAACGGUCUGACAACAGAUGUCAUAUUUUAGCAAUUUAUUUCUGACAAAAAAACUCAGUCCUCCUCCUUUUCUGUUUUUUGUUUUUCUAUCAGUUGGUUCAUGAUACAGGCUUUCAUUUUGAUGUGUCAGUGUUUUCUUGUAUCCGCCUUAUCUAUUGUGAUUCUUUCCUUUUCAAGAUUUUCCACUUUGAAAACUCUUUCUUUAAUUGAAAAUGCUAUUGAAUAAUUUCAGACAACUUCAGAAAAAAAGUUAAAGUUGUUGUUUUACUUGUUUUUUAUACAAUGUUGUCCAAAGUUUCAUAUUUUUAUAUGGUGCACUUUUUUACAUUUGUUUCUGAUUUUUGAGAAUUAAAAAACUGAAAAGAGCAAUCACUUAUAUGAUAUGACAAUUCUACCUGUAUGGGUCUGUCUUUGUAUAUUGCUGAUGUUUGAUGAUUGUAACAACAUUAAAAUGUUCAAAAAUU